GUCUAUGUCCCUACCACCUUGAAUGUGCCCUAUCUCGUCUGGCCUUGGAAGCUAAGCAGGGUCGGAACUGGUUAGUACUUGGAUGAAAGACAGAUCUUCAAAAUAGAGUGCUCAGAGACAAGCAGUUUGGAGACA
rnacentral:rRNA from 1 species